rnacentral:rRNA from 1 species
GAUGAACGCUGGCGGCGUGCCUAAUACAUGCAAGUCGAGCGAACAGACGAGGAGCUUGCUCCUCUAACGUUAGCGGCGGACGGGUGAGUAACACGUGGAUAACCUACCUAUAAGACUGGGAUAACUUCGGGAAACCGGAGCUAAUACCGGAUAAUAUAUUGAACCGCAUGGUUCAAUAGUGAAAGACGGUUUUGCUGUCACGUAUAGAUGGAUCCGGGCCUCAUUAGCUAGUUGGUAAGGUAACAGCUUACCAAGGCAACGAUGCGUAGCCGACCUGCGAGGGUGAGCAGCCACACUGGAACGCAGACACGGACCAGACUCCUACGGGAGGCAGCAGUAGAGAAUCUGCCUCAAUGAUCGAAAGCCUAACGGAGCAACGCCGCGUGAGUGAUGAAGGCCGUCGGAUCGUAAAACUCUGUUAUUAGGGAAGAACAAAUGUGUAAGUAAAUAUGCACGUCUUGACGGUAACUAAUCAGAAAGCCACGGCUAACUACGUG